rnacentral:sRNA from 1 species
UUUCAUUACACUUAUACAGCUAUCGACACCUAAAAGAAUUUACAGUCGUGUUCAGAAAAGUACAAACCCCAACUCUUUCUACGUUUGAAUUUCUCUCCCUAUGCACUUCGUCUUCUUCCAUGUAUAUUUCUUUGUCAGUUUUAAGUUCAUGUUUGCGUAUCGUUUUUGUUUGAUCCUCCUAU